rnacentral:rRNA from 1 species
GUGUCAGCAGCCGCGGUAAAACGUAGGAGGCGAGCGUUAUCCGGAUUUACUGGGCGUAAAGCGCGUGUAGGCGGUACGGAAAGUUGGAUGUGAAAGCUCCCGGCUUAACUGGGAGAGGUCGUUCAAAACUACCGAACUAGAGGGUGUGAGAGGGAAGUGGAAUUCCGGGUGUAGUGGUGAAAUGCGUAGAUAUCCGGAGGAACACCAGUGGCGAAAGCGGCUUCCUGGCACACAACUGACGCUCAGACGCGAAAGCUAGGGUAGCAAACGGGAUUAGAGACCCCGGUAGUCCUAGCUGUAAACGAUGUAGACUUGGCGUAGGUGGGUUCAAAUCCAUCUGUGCCGCAGCCAACGCGAUAAGUCUACCGCCUGGGGACUACGGCCGCAAGGUUAAA